AUUGAACGCUGGCGGCAGGCCUAACACAUGCAAGUCGAACGGUAACAGGAAGAAGCUUGCUUCUUUGCUGACGAGUGGCGGACGGGUGAGUAAUGUCUGGGAAACUGCCUGAUGGAGGGGGAUAACUACUGGAAACGGUAGCUAAUACCGCAUAACGUCGCAAGACCAAAGAGGGGGACCUUCGGGCCUCUAGCCAUCGGAUGUGCCCAGAUGGGAUUAGCUAGUAGGUGGGGUAACGGCUCACCUAGGCGACGAUCCCUGGCUGGUCUGAGAGGAUGACCAGCCACACUGGAACUGAGACACGGUACAGACUCCUACGGGAGGCAGCAGUGGGGAAUAUUGCACAAUGGGCGCAAGCCUGAUGCAGCCAUGCCGCGUGUAUGAAGAAGGCCUUCGGGUUGUAAAGUACUUUCAGCGGGGAGGAAGGGAGUAAAGUUAAUACCUUUGCUCAUUGACGUUACCCGCAGAAGAAGCACCGGCUAACUCCGUG
rnacentral:rRNA from 1 species